GGCUCAGUUGGGUUUGCACCAGCUCCGCAGAGACCAUGACUUCCGGGUGGCCGAGAAGGCCGCGACUUCCGGUAGACACGAGAGCUAGAUUCCGCACGUGUCUGGCAACCUCUUCCGGCAGCUGGACCGCCACUUCCGGCCGAUGAAAGAUGCGGGGUCCACUGCGUCUGUAGCCGCAAUCCUGUAGACUAUGCAGCCUGCGGGAGUCCGGAAUAACUCGCUGGCGUCUGUGCAGUGAGCUCUCAAGAGCCUCGUGGCGGCAGCGGAGGGCACAGGACUGACUGCUCGGCCUGCAGCAGCUCCAUAGCCGAUAGCCGCGCAGGGCUUGUCAUCCAGAGAGGAGGGGAAAGGAAGCAAAUGGAGAAGUUCCAAGACUUUCCUGGCUAUGUCUCCAGUGACCUGGCUGAGCAAAUACCUGGAAACUCUGAGGAGUCAGCUGCCAUAAAACCUGCAUCAGCCAUGCCAGUUAGCCAAGUCUGGAAGACCACCCGUGAAUCCCAGAGGCCUGCUCUACCUGGUGUGCCCAUCCCUGACAGGGCUGACAGAACAAGUCCUUCGACUCAGGCCUGAAGAUGAAUUAUUUCUUGGGUCCAUAGCUCUUUGCUGACUGCUGAGCCCAAAACAAAGGGGCAACAUCUAGGCCAGCAAAUGGUUUCCAAUUUCUCUGUGUGACCAGCUUUUAAAACGUUCCCAUUUGCAUCGCUCCAGACCCUUCUCUCUGUGUCCCCAUGACCCUCUCACUAGUUCUGAAUGGUGAUGGAUUGCUUGAGUUACUGUGCUCCUUUCAUUCUCCUGGGAUCCAGAAAGGACAUGAUUGUGCUACUGGUCUCACAGCCCAGAGACUGCAGAAGCAGAGAAGAAACCAGCAUCUCCCCGCCUCUGUUUUCUCUCACACUGGCUGGGACCCCACUGGCUGCUGCCAACCACUUGCUGAGUCCCUGGAGGCAGU